rnacentral:rRNA from 2 species
AGUCGAGCGAUCACUGGGAGCUUGCUCCCGGUGGUUAGCGGCGGACGGGUGAGUAACACGUGGGCAACCUGCCUGUAAGACUGGGAUAACACCGGGAAACCGGUGCUAAUACCGGAUAAUCCUUUUCCUCUCAUGAGGAAAAGCUGAAAGUCGGUUUCGGCUGACACUUACAGAUGGGCCCGCGGCGCAUUAGCUAGUUGGUGAGGUAACGGCUCACCAAGGCGACAAUGCGUAGCCGACCUGAGAGGGUGAUCGGCCACACUGGGACUGAAACACGGCCCAAACUCCUACGGGAGGCAGCAGUAGGGAAUCUUCCACAAUGGACGAAAGUCUGAUGGAGCAACGCCGCGUGAGCGAUGAAGGCCUUCGGGUCGUAAAGCUCUGUUGUUAGGGAAGAACAAGUGCCGGAGUAACUGCCGGUACCUUGACGGUACCUAACCAUAAAGCCACGGCUAACUACGUGCCAGCAGCCGCGGUAAUACGUAGGUGGCAAGCGUUGUCCGGAAUUAUUGGGCGUAAAGCGCGCGCAGGCGGUCCUUUAAGUCUGAUGUGAAAGCCCACGGCUCAACCGUGGAGGGUCAUUGGAAACUGGGGGACUUGAGUGCAGAAGAGGAA